rnacentral:misc_RNA from 1 species
GGAAUAUUCAGAUUUCCAUCUUCUGUGACCAAUGCUUCAUUUGUCUUGCGGAAACACUAUCUAUCCAUGCUUUAUCAUUUUGAGCAGGUUUAUUACUUUAGGAAAGAAGAGCCUUCUAUUUCUGUGUCUGAUCCUACAAGUAGAAAUGUCAGUGGCUCUGCAACUGAACAUGCUAAUGAUGAUAGUGCUGCUACGGAUCAAAGUUCAGUGAGCUAUAAUCUGGAGGA